AGUGAACGCUGGCGGUAGGCCUAACACAUGCGAGUCGAACGGCAGCACAGUAAGAGCUUGCUCUUACGGGUGGCGAGUGGCGGACGGGUGAGGAAUACAUCGGAAUCUACUUUUUCGUGGGGGAUAACGUAGGGAAACUUACGCUAAUACCGCAUACGACCUACGGGUGAAAGCAGGGGAUCUUCGGACCUUGCGCGAUUGAAUGAGCCGAUGUCGGAUUAGCUAGUUGGCGGGGUAAAGGCCCACCAAGGCGACGAUCCGUAGCUGGUCUGAGAGGAUGAUCAGCCACACUGGAACUGAGACACGGCCCAGACUCCGACGGGAAGCAGCAGUGGGGAAUAUUAGACGAUGGGGGCGAGCCUGAUCCAGCCAUACCGCGUGGGUGAAGAAGGCCUUCGGGUUGUAAAGCCCUUUUGUUGGGAAAGAAAAGCAGCAGGUUAAUACCCCGCUAUUCUGACGGUACCCAAAGAAUAAGCACCGGCUAACUUCGUG
rnacentral:rRNA from 1 species